rnacentral:misc_RNA from 1 species
GAUGAAGAACGCAGUGAAAUGCGAUAAGUAAUGUGAAUUGCAGAAUUCAGUGAACCAUCGAAUCUUUGAACGCACAUUGCGCCCGGCAGUAAUCUGCCGGGCAUGCCUGUCCGAGCGUCAUUUCUCCCCUCGAGCGCAGCUUUCCCCCCCGGGGGAGGGCCGCGCCCGGUGUUGGGGCGCUACGGAGGAGCCCAGCGCUCCCCCGUAGGCCCCGAAAUGUAGUGGCGGUCCCGCCGCGGCGCCCCCUGCGUAGUAGUUUUACAACUCGCAUCGGGCCCCGGCGGAGGCCAGCCGUCAAACCCCCCAACUUCAAUAGUUUGACCUCGGAUCAGGUAGGGUUACCCGCUGAACUUAAGCAUAUCAAUAAGCGGAGGA